rnacentral:lncRNA from 1 species
CUGCCAAGUGUCUCUGAUGUCCAGGGUGACUGAGGUCCCCAUAGGCAUGGGUGGUGCUCUUCAAAGGAGAGGACUGGAAAGGAGAUCCUAGAAGUCCCCAGGGGACUGAGAGAAUCCAAGUCAGCCUGGACCUUCAUCCACCUACCCCAGAAGCCUCUCUCCCUUCUCCCACUGAACCCCAUUUCUCCCUGUGGCCA